AGUGGAACAGCAGAUGAGGCUAUCUCUUCAGCACUAUGUCAAGAAACAGCAGCCCAGAAAAUUCUUAACAGCUGAACUUCAGUUUCUAAUUACUUCUCACAGCCACUUCAAUUUUUGCCUCUCUGAGGCAUAUGCUGAAAUCAAUUAUGACAUGCGAGCGGUUACACCAUGGCACAGUGAGGAAGCUGGUACAUUUCUGAAACUCCAUAAACUCAUCAGAUUAUUUUUACUUUAAAUGCUAUAAACCUGAAGUAUUUCUUUACUUGACACACACACACACACACACACACACACACACUCAUACACAUUUCAUACUUUUGCAUCAAAGCUGGUCAUAAAAUUGGUACCAGAAGACAAACUUGGUAGAGUUCACAGAGUUUUGAGUAAAGGAAUAAUCCAUGUUUAUAAAGUUGACACUAAAGAUAUAAUAAGCCAAUGACUAGACUGUAGUCUGUGAUCAUUGACACAGGGAAGGGACGUGACGGCAAAGAUCAGAGAGAGAAAAAAGUCUUCUUCUGGCUUUUAAGUUUCAAAGGGGAUGCAUUCAGAGCUGCCAGUGGCCCUGGGUCCCGUCCACACGAAGAAGCUGGAAAGAAUGAGGCCAUGCCAAAACAGAGGCUGAGAUGAGAGGCGAAGGCAGAAAUCUGCCCCCAUUCCUGGGAAAACUUCCUUUCUACGUUUUGUUUUCAUGGGCCAAUACAUCCCUUUUCCUUGUUUAAUCUAACUUGAUUUGGAAUUCUGCAUUUGUAAUAAAAAAGUUCUAAUAAUAAUAAAGUUCAUGCUGUUAUUUGGCAGAUGCUGAGAUGUGAGCAAGAGAAAAGAGUCAAGAAUCAAGCAGGAAUAUCGAGCAAGGUGGACUCAGUGACUCAUAGAAAACACACGGAGACAGGUUUUGGAGAUGAUGAUGAUAAUAAUGAUGAACUUAGUUUUGGGCAAAAUGAGUUUGAGGAUCUUUGAAUUUUCCCAUGUGGAGCUGUUCCAUUUGUUGUUUGGAAACGUGGAUAGAAAACUCAGCAGAGAGUUCAGGGAUGAAGCUGUAGAUCUGGGAGCCAACUGAACGGAGCUGCAGCUGAAGGCCAUGACACUGCAAGAGGAACAGAGUGGGGCUAGAAGGAGACCAAGGACUGGGCAAGGAACAGAAGCAGGCGACACGGCCUUGUGGGAGCACGACAAGGAGAAUCGGCAUGUGUAAGGUGAGAGGAGUCACAAGGGGUAGUUCUAAUGACA
rnacentral:lncRNA from 10 species